rnacentral:siRNA from 1 species
UGCUCGAGCUGCUUCCGCGGCGA